rnacentral:rRNA from 1 species
UACGAAGGGGGCUAGCGUUGUUCGGAAUCACUGGGCGUAAAGCGCACGUAGGCGGAUUGUUAAGUCAGAGGUGAAAUCCCGAGGCUCAACCUCGGAACUGCCUUUGAUACUGUCGAUCUAGAGUCCGGGAGAGGUGAGUGGAAUUGCGAGUGUAGAGGUGAAAUUCGUAGAUAUUCGGAAGAACACCAGUGGCGAAGGCGGCUCACUGGCCCGACACUGACGCUGAGGCGCGAAAGCGUGGGUAGCAAACAGG